rnacentral:rRNA from 1 species
CCUGGAGCUUGCUCCGGGGGAUUAGUGGCGAACGGGUGAGUAACACGUGAGUAACCUGCCCUUGACUCUGGGAUAACCUCCGGAAACGGAAGCUAAUACCGGAUAUGACGUACGGAGGCAUCUCCUGUACGUGGAAAGAACUUCGGUCAAGGAUGGACUCGCGGCCUAUCAGGUAGUUGGUGAGGUAACGGCUCACCAAGCCUACGACGGGUAGCCGGCCUGAGAGGGUGACCGGCCACACUGGGACUGAGACACGGCCCAGACUCCUACGGGAGGCAGCAGUGGGGAAUAUUGCACAAUGGGCGAAAGCCUGAUGCAGCAACGCCGCGUGAGGGAUGACGGCCUUCGGGUUGUAAACCUCUUUUAGUAGGGAAGAAGCGAAAGUGACGGUACCUGCAGAAAAAGCACCGGCUAACUACGUGCCAGCAGCCGCGGUAAUACGUAGGGUGCGAGCGUUGUCCGGAAUUAUUGGGCGUAAAGAGCUCGUAGGCGGUCUGUCGCGUCUGCUGUGAAAACCCGAGGCUCAACCUCGGGCCUGCAGUGGGUACGGGCAGACUAGAGUGCGGUAGGGGAGAAUGGAAUUCCUGGUGUAGCGGUGGAAUGCGCAGAUAUCAGGAGGAACACCGAUGGCGAAGGCAGUUCUCUGGGCCGUAACUGACGCUGAGGAGCGAAAGCGUGGGGAGCGAACAGGAUUAGAUACCCUGGUAGUCCACGCCGUAAACGUUGGGCGCUAGAUGUGGGGACCAUUCCACGGUUUCCGUGUCGCAGCUAACGCAUUAAGCGCCCCGCCUGGGGAGUACGGCCGCAAGGCUAAAACUCAAAGGAAUUGACGGGGGCCCGCACAAGCGGCGGAGCAUGCGGAUUAAUUCGAUGCAACGCGAAGAACCUUACCAAGGCUUGACAUACACGAGAACGCCCUAGAAAUAGGGAACUCUUUGGACACUCGUGAACAGGUGGUGCAUGGUUGUCGUCAGCUCGUGUCGUGAGAUGUUGGGUUAAGUCCCGCAACGAGCGCAACCCUCGUUCUAUGUUGCCAGCGCGUAAUGGCGGGAACUCAUAGGAGACUGCCGGGGUCAACUCGGAGGAAGGUGNGGGAUGACGUCAAAUCAUCAUGCCCCUUAUGUCUUGGGCUUCACGCAUGCUACAAUGGCCGGUACAAAGGGCUGCAAUACCGUAAGGUGGAGCGAAUCCCAAAAAGCCGGUCUCAGUUCGGAUUGAGGUCUGCAACUCGACCUCAUGAAGUCGGAGUCGCUAGUAAUCGCAGAUCAGCAA